CGUGUAUGUAAAAUAGUUUCACUUGGCCGUACACCUGAAAUUAACACAACAUUAUAAGUCAACUAUACUCCAAUAUUUUUUUAAAAAAAGAACAAAUAUCCAAGCAAAAAGAGGAUGCAAUUUGAAUUUGAAUUUGAAUCACUCUAAACAUAUUAAUACAGUAUUUCUGCUAGUUAAAACCAAACCAAAAAAUAAAUAAAUAAAUAAAUAAAUAAACCUUUAGCCUCCUAGGCCUUCCCUGAGUUUCAGAACAAAUUUAAUCAGAGAAGUGAGAAAAUUCAGAAAUAAAGGAAAACCGUCAAGCAAGACAAACUAAGAAGAGUUUAGCCAUUCGACAAAGUCAAGGACCUCAAGAACCUUAAGUUCCUCCUCAAGGACUACAGGUGUGAUGACCGUUUUUAACUCCACGGCGAUUUUGAAGACCAGGAACGUUCAUGGGAAACACGUUCCAUUUGAUGUGAGCGUCUCCUCUGAGUUUCCUUGUGGUGUCUGCCUCCCAAAGCCUUCUUCCUCCCUCCUCCGUACCUGAUCAAGCACAGGUGAAGGAAUGAAGUCAUUGCUCUAGACCUGCCACCCAAGAGUCAGGAUGCAGACACAUCACCAAAGACUUAAGAGAGACAGAAGAAAUGCCUUCUCCACGGGCAGAUGGAGUGAGCAGUGUAGAAUCCAUCACCACAGUUCAAGGCAUCUCAGAGACUCAUUUCUGAAGCCAGGGCAGAAGAAUCGUGCUGCAUCUCUACAGAAACGAACUGGGACUGGUGGAUCAACAGUUAUUACAGAAGUUGAAAGAAGGAAGG
rnacentral:lncRNA from 1 species